rnacentral:rRNA from 1 species
AGUGAACGCUGGCGGUAGGCCUAACACAUGCAAGUCGAACGGCAGCACAGUAAGAGCUUGCUCUUACGGGUGGCGAGUGGCGGACGGGUGAGGAAUACAUCGGAAUCUACUUUUUCGUGGGGGAUAACGUAGGGAAACUUACGCUAAUACCGCAUACGACCUACGGGUGAAAGCAGGGGAUCUUCGGACCUUGCGCGACUGAAUGAGCCGAUGUCGGAUUAGCUAGUUGGCGGGGUAAAGGCACACCAAGGCGACGAUCCGUAGCUGGUCUGAGAGGAUGAUCAGCCACACUGGAACUGAGACACGGUCCAGACUCCUACGGGAGGCAGCAGUGGGGAAUAUUGGACAAUGGGCGCAAGCCUGAUCCAGCCAUACCGCGUGGGUGAAGAAGGCCUUCGGGUUGUAAAGCCCUUUUGUUGGGAAAGAAAAGCAGCAGGUUAAUACCCCGCUGUUCUGACGGUACCCAAAGAAUAAGCACCGGCUAACUUCGUG